AUUGAUUUGGCAGAAAAUAUGCAUUAAAUUUAGAAUUUAAGUAUGUGAUAUUAAUUUACAUUCAAUA
rnacentral:tRNA from 1 species